GGGUUGUGAGGUUAAGCGACUAAGCGUACACGGUGGAUGCCCUGGCAGUCAGAGGCGAUGAAGGACGUGCUAAUCUGCGAUAAGCGCCGGUAAGGUGAUAUGAACCGUUAUAACCGGCGAUUUCCGAAUGGGGAAACCCAGUGUGAUUCGUCACACUAUCAUUAACUGAAUCCAUAGGUUAAUGAGGCGAACCGGGGGAACUGAAACAUCUAAGUACCCCGAGGAAAAGAAAUCAACCGAGAUUCCCCCAGUAGCGGCGAGCGAACGGGGAGGAGCCCAGAGCCUGAAUCAGCAUGUGUGUUAGUGGAAGCGUCUGGAAAGGCGCGCGAUACAGGGUGACAGCCCCGUACACAAAAGCGCAUGUGCUGUGAGCUCGAUGAGUAGGGCGGGACACGUGGUAUCCUGUCUGAAUAUGGGGGGACCAUCCUCCAAGGCUAAAUACUCCUGACUGACCGAUAGUGAACCAGUACCGUGAGGGAAAGGCGAAAAGAACCCCGGCGAGGGGAGUGAAAAAGAACCUGAAACCGUGUACGUACAAGCAGUGGGAGCACCCUUUGGGGUGUGACUGCGUACCUUUUGUAUAAUGGGUCAGCGACUUAU
rnacentral:rRNA from 1 species